rnacentral:lncRNA from 10 species
GCCUCCCAAAGUACUGGGAUUACAGGUGUGAGCCACUGUGCCCGGCCCCCAACUGCACAUGUUCUAAUGAGGAAUCUUUUCUGGAUGGUGGAUAAUAUGGUUUGGUAGUAUUUUUCCGUCCAAAUCUCAUGUUGAAAUGUGACUUCCAAUGUUGGAGGGGAGCCUAGUGGGAGGUGUUAGUGUCAUGGGGGCAAAUCCCUCAUGAAUGGCUUGGUGCUGUCCUAGCAGUAGUGAGUGAAUACUCACUCUAUUAGCUCACACCAGAUCUGGUUGUUUAAGAGAGCCUGGCACCUCCUCGCUUUUCUCUCUCUUGCUCCCCCUCUCACCAGGUGACAUUCUGGCUCCCUUUCACCUUCUGCCAUGAGUAAAAGCUUCCUGAGGCCCAACAGAAGCUGAAAAGAUGCUAGCACCAUGCUUGUACAGCCUGCAGAACCGAAGAAGAAGAGUAGAAGGAAUUCUCCCCACUUACAGAGUUUUCUCAAGCACAGUGGCAGCUUACUUUGCUACAGUCAGUUGCAACCUGGAAGUGCAGGACAGUUGAUGCCACUGGAGCUAACCUUCAAUCAAUGGGGAUGGAAGUCCAUGGAUAAAUACCACAGACUCUCCAUCCUCCAGUGGGAUGAUUCUAAGAGUGUUCCACACAGUUUCUCAGAGAGUCUCCAGAAGGACUGAGUCCCAGUUGCCCACAGGUUUUUUAUGGCAGUGAUCACCCUCUCUCAAAUUGAACUCCUCAAUACGAGUGGCAUAUUUGAAAACAAGCACUGUCCCACGAAUAAACUUUGGAGUGCAGGACACAGCAAUACAGAGGCCUCUGUCACCUGGAGAAUGCCAGUUGGUUGCUUCUAAAACCCUUGCAGGAGAUGGCUGGACUCUCUAAGUAGAAACAAAACUGGCUUCCUGAACUGCGAGGCUGAAGAACAGAGCCCAGACUGAGUACAUUCAAUAAAGCAAAGUCAAC